GAUGAAGAACGCAGCGAAAUGCGAUAGGUAAUGUGAAUUGCAGAAUUCAGUGGAUCAUCGAAUCUUUGAACGCACAUUGCGCCCCUUGGUAUUCCGAGGGGCAUGCCUGUUCGAGCGUCAUUUCAACCCUCAAGCUCUGCUUGGUCUUGGGCCUGGCCGUGAUGGCCGGUCUUAAAAUCAGUGGCGGUGCCGUCGCAGGCUCCAAGCGUAGUACAUCUCUCGCUCUGGAAACUUGGCGGUGCCUGCCAGACAACCCCUAAUUGUCUCUUUCGGUUGACCUCGGAUCAGGUAGGGAUACCCGCUGAACUUAAGCAUAUCAAUAAGUGGAGGA
rnacentral:misc_RNA from 1 species